GGCCGCCUGGCGAAAUGGCAUCGCGUCUGACUACGAUUUCGCGUGAUCAGGAGAUUGCAGGUUCGACCCCUGCGGUGGUCA
rnacentral:tRNA from 1 species